AGGACCUCUACAGACAAACUAGGUAGAUUUUACUUAUCCCUGUUGUCAGGAGUGUCAGGGGUGUCAGGACCUCUACAGGCAAACUAGGUAGCUUUUAUUGAGCCUAGUUGUCAGGGGUGUCAGGACCUCUACAGACAAACUAGGUAGAUUUUAUUGAGCCUAGUUGUCAGGGGUGUCAGGACCUCUACAGACAAACUAGGUAGAUUUUAUUGAGCCUAGUUGUCAGGGGUGUCAGGACCUCUACAGACAAACUAGGUAGAUUUUAUUGAGCCUAGUUGUCAGGAGUGUCAGGGGUGUCAGGACUUCUACAGACAAACUAGGUAGAUUUUACUCAUCCCUAGUUGUCAGAAGUGUCAGGGAUGUCAGGACCUCUACAGACAAACUAGGUAGAUUUUACUCAUCCCUAGUUGUCAGAAGUGUCAGGGAUGUCAGGACCUCUACAGACAAACUAGGUAGAUUUUACUCAUCCCUAGUUGUCAGGAGCGUCAGCAUCUCUAAAAAAAACUAAUAGAUUUCAUUCAGCAUUAUUUGUGAUAUAAAAAAAAACUUAGAAGCAAACUCACACGCCUAUUUUAUUAAGGCAAAUUGAUUACAAACUGUUUUAGGUUGCAUAGAGUUCAUGUUCACUGUAUACCUCAAUAAUAUUAUCAUACCUCCAAGUGAUAUCCGGAAUUUGAUACAAGUUUCUGAUAGCAAAAGCUAGUAUACUUCCUUGACGUUCUUACGGGUUUCCUGUGGUGUUAAGGGUUCCCUGUGAAAGAUCGCCUCCAAAAAGCCGGUGUUCAUCAAUUAAUCCCAACAAAUCUUGCAUGGUAUCAAGAUACAGCAACUUUUUCAACAUUAUCAUAUCUACAUUAGCUUUGCAGUUACAAGAGAAUUUUCUCAUCUAAAA